rfam:Pteropus alecto contig21024, whole genome shotgun sequence.
AUGUUUCGGUAAGAGCAGCACAUACACUAAAAACGGAAGGAUAGACUGUUAGCACGGCCCCUGCUCAAGAAUGACAUGCAGAUUCGUGAGCUGUUCCAUAUUUUU